GUGCUCACUUCAACAGCCCAUAUACUAAAAUUGGAACAAUACAGAGCAGAUUAGCAUGGUCCCUUAGCAAGGAUGAUACACAAAUUCAUGAAACAUUCCUUUUUUUU